rnacentral:tRNA from 1 species
GCCGGGAUGGCGGAAUGGUAGACGCAGUGGACUCAAAAUCCACCGAGGGCAACCUCAUGGGAGUUCAAGUCUCCCUCCCGGCACCA